UCCUCGAGGACUGGUGAGCUGUCACUGCAGCAUGACCGUACUGCCAGCUCCCCAGGGGCUCACCCUAAAAGUUCCUUUUAGAGAACACCCUCAGCCUUAACUCCAUUUUAGAGCCUGACUUCUGGGAGUCAACCUGUGGCAUUUAAGGUGGAUUAUGUAUUAUAUAUAUAGGUCAGCACCAGCACAUACAGCAUGCAGAGGCAGCCCACUGUGGUAACCACCACGGGGUUGUCCUCAAAGGUAGCAAAGAGCUCGGCAGUCUGGCGGACGUCAAUGGCGUUGGGCAUCACCAGGAAGGAGCUUCCGAAGAAGGGCUGGAGUCACACAUGUUUGUGAGCUGCUGAUGUGCAUGGUGGAAACUGAACUCGGCUUCUCCGUGAAAACAGCGAGGAUCGGACAGAGUCCAGAGUUCCCAGAACCCAAAUGGAUGCCUAAGGGGCCACGGGCAGACCCGGCUCUGAGGCACAGGUCCUCUGUACGAGGUGUGUGGGAUUUGGAGGCAGAUCCAUCCACUUUCCUGAUCCAUUGUCUCAUUGACUGUGAAAUGGGGACAACAGCUCUCCUGGGGUUAUCUGAAGCACUGAUGAGCUAAUGCUGGUAAAGUUGAACUUGGGACACAGCUGAGGUUCUUCACUGGGAUGGGAUGGCCGCUGGAGCUGGUCAGGCGAAGUCCACCAACAGUCCCACUGACAUCAAAUUGGCUUCGGGAAGGGAAGGGGUUCUGUGAGAAACUCAUCAUCUGAAAGCCAAGAGCAAGAAGCACUGAUGAGAGUCGGGGUGAACAGGCCCCUGUGUGAACAGUGAGACCCGCAGGCUGGUGACUGGCCCUCGCUCUAUGAGGUGGAUGCAGGCUCCUGCCUUUAACUGAUGGUGCUUUCCAGAGAUAUCGUUUGCAGAGGCCGUGUCCAGGACUCAGCAAGCCUUUCUUCCCCCAGAGUUGAUAUAAUCAGAUCUCAACAUCUUCAGUUCUAUGUCUGUAGACUCAACUAAAUGUGGACUGAAAUAUUUGAAAAAGUCUUGGCCCCUUAGGAUAGCCAAAUGCAGGGUGACAGCGGAGUUGAGCGGUGGCAGACAGAAGGUAUGGAGCACCAGCAACCUCUGGUCUGUGUGGAGCAGCUGCCUCCCCACGCAGGCAUUCCACUGAGCCCAGCAACGUCCUGCGCAAG
rnacentral:lncRNA from 1 species